rnacentral:lncRNA from 1 species
UCGGCGAUUCCUCUACUCAGCAACCCUAAUCGGCGAUUCCUUUGCUGACCCUUUCAAUCGAUCCUUUGCGAAGAGGUAUGAAUCUGGUUCGUCAAUCAAAGGGGUAUACUUCUCAUUUGGGAAGAUAAUCGAUUAUCUCGCAGUCAAUCAAGUUCAAAGAUGAAAAGAAACUGCAGCGAAACAGAGUAAUGGUUUCUCAAGCCUUUUAAAUUUUUUAAUCAGGUGAUUUUACUAUCAAAAUAGAUGAAAAGUUCAAUGUUAGAGAAUUUACUUUGAAGUGGAAAACAUAUUUGAUCAGGUAUUUUGUUUAUUUUUUUUAAGCUAUUGAAUGUUCUUAUGUUAAAUUGAUACUGAAACUGCUGUUGUUUGAAUCUAUUUCAGUGACUUGAUUCUGCUCUUAGUUUCUGAUUCCGCCUAGGUUAGUUAGUCGGCUCGAUUUUGAUUGUUGUAUAGUCUAUAAACAUAUAUUCAUAUGUUUUUUAACAUGUACUCCAAUCAAACCCUAAUGCCAUUUUUAUUGUAGAUUGAUAAUUAUGAUAAAAUCUUUUCACACAUGAAGCAAAAAAAAGCAUACAUGGACUUCAAAGCUACUAUGGUGUUACGAUAUGAAUAAGUGAAGGCUCUAAAGUAUUUAUCCUGGUUCAUCACUGCGUUUUUUUUUUCAGUUUCAGUUCCUUCCAUCCGUUUGCAAUUGUCCAUCUGUUUGUUGAUGUUUAUUAAAUUAACUAAACCAUAUUUGAUUUGUUUGUUUGCAAUUGGAAACAUAGCGUAAUAAUAAUUUGUUUAUUUAGUGAUUAUCAUGCAUCUUUUCGGUGUGGAGGAAAUAGACUCUGGUUGAAAAUGAAUGGAGUGAGCAUAUAGUUAAUUGUAUAGAUGCAAUUACUACUUGAGUUUAUAUAACUGUAUUAUCUUGUAUUAGUAGCACAACGGGUCAACUAUUGGUUUUCUUUGGUUAAACGUGGUAAACAAUUGUUUCAUGGACAUGAUUAGAUAUUGUUUUUAUUUACACCGUUGAAUAAUGUACUCAGAAUUCUAGGUUUUGCAGAGCAGAUAUUUCACGCAGCCGGUGGAAAAAAGAGUAGUUCAAUUUUCAUUGCAGUUGAUUCUUUGGGGUUACAUAGUCGUAAGACAAGAUUCUAUUUUGCAACAUUAAACAAGAUAAAAAAAAGGGUGUGCAACUUUCAUAAGGAACUUCAAAGAUGUGAUGCCUAUUGCAACUGGUUAUGAGCAUGAGGAGCUUGAAGCAGAGCUUGAGGGUCGAGAUAUUUAGGAUAUCAGUUCUCACCGUUUGGUACUAAGCUUCAAGCAACCAGAAAUCAAACCUCACCGUCGCCCGAUGUUUAAAGCUAGGAACGACAAGGUUAUCGAUUAAGGAAGUGUUUGGAUGCUUCUAUAAUUCAGUCGUAAGGGUUUUAAUCGGCGGAGUUAGACAACCAAGGA